UACGGAGGAUGCAAGCGUUAUCCGGAAUGAUUGGGCGUAAAGCGUCCGCAGGUGGCUAUGUAAGUCUGCUGUUAAAGAGUGAGGCUCAACCUCAUAAAAGCAGUGGAAACUACAUGGCUAGAGUGCGUUCGGGGCAGAGGGAAUUCCUGGUGUAGCGGUGAAAUGCGUAGAGAUCAGGAAGAACACCGGUGGCGAAAGCGCUCUGCUAGGCCGCAACUGACACUGGGGGACGAAAGCUAGGGGAGCGAAUGGG
rnacentral:rRNA from 1 species